GACAGAGGAACUUACCAAGAGGCAUAAACAUCUUUAGUGAGUGGCUACACACAAGUCUUACCUUGCUUAUAUGCAAAGCAUUCUUUUUAGGUAACAAUAGACCUAAAGGUCUAGUUGUGAUCAGCAAUUAAAGUUUAUUAUCAGUUAAGAGGUUAAUUCUUUCGACAGCUAAAGACUGUUAAAGAGAUGUAUUUUGAAGUAGGAAAUUUAUGACAUAAGCCACUAUCUCACUGGAUAUGCAGGGUACUCACCUCAUCAGAAUUAGUGUAGAGGAAAUUCUGUUCAUGUUUCCCCAAGGUCAAAGGCAAAGGGAUAGACAAAGUAUAAAAAGAAGGCAGUUAAGCAGAAUGCUCAACUUGACAUGUUAUUAUUUUUUAUAUGUUUUGUACCAAUAAAAUAUCAAGCAAAAGAGACAAGUAACUUUUCGCCAUUUAGGACCAGAGGGAAAAAAUC
rnacentral:lncRNA from 1 species